GCCUGCGUAGCUCAGCAGGUAGAGCAUUUCCUUGGUAAGGAAAAGGUCUCCGGUUCAAAUCCGGUCGUAGGCU
rnacentral:tRNA from 1 species